rnacentral:pre_miRNA from 8 species
GUCGGGAAGAACUUGUGUGGUGCAGAUAGCAGCGCCAUUUACAGAGCUAUAAGCAUCAUAGUUGUCAUAGCUCUUUGAAUGGUACUGCCAUAUGCACUGAACUAUCGGCAUCUCGCUC